UACAGAGGGUGCGAGCGUUGUCCGGAAUCACUGGGCGUAAAGGGCGCGUAGGUGGUGGCUUAAGCGUGCGGUAGAAAGCUCGGGGCUCAACCCCGAGUCGGCCGUGCGAACUGGGCUCACUGGAGACAUAGUAGAGGCAGGUGGAAUUCCGGGUGUAGCGGUGGAAUGCGUAGAGAUCCGGAAGAACACCGGUGGCGAAGGCGGCCUGCUGGGCUAUGGCUGACACUGAGGCGCGACAGCGUGGGGAGCAAACAGG
rnacentral:rRNA from 1 species